rnacentral:rRNA from 1 species
UACAGAGGCCUCGAGCGUUAGGCGGAAUCACUGGGCUUAAAGCGUGUGUAGGCGGACUUCUAAGUACCUUGUGAAAUCCCACGGCUCACCCGUGGAACUGCUCGGUAUACUGGUCGUCUUGAGCCUUCUAGGGGCGAGUGGAACAAAUGGUGGAGCGGUGAAAUGCGUAGAUAUCAUUUGGAAUGCCAAUGGUGAAAACAACUCGCUGGGGAAGUGCUGACGCUGAGACACGAAAGCCAGGGGAGCGAACGGG